rnacentral:piRNA from 1 species
UGAGAACAAUACCCCUGACAGUGUCUC